CCUACGGGGGGCAGCAGUGAGGAAUUUUGGACAAUGGGGGCAACCCUGAUCCAGCGACGCCGCGUGAAGGAUGAAGGUCUUCGGAUUGUAAACUUCUUUUAUCUGGGACUAAGAUACCUAUGGAAACAUGGGGAGUGAAUGUACCAGAGGAAUAAGCCACGGCUAACUUCGUGCCAGCAGCCGCGGUAAUACGAAGGUGGCAAGCGUUACUCGGAAUUACUAGGCGUAAAGGGCAGGUAGGUGGUUUGGUAAGUCUGUUGUGAAAGCUCCCGGCUUAACUGGGAGAGGUCAAUAGAUACUGCCGGACUUGAGUGUAGGAGAGGGUACUGGAAUUCCCGGUGUAGCGGUGAAAUGCGCAGAGAUCGGGAGGAACACCAAUGGCGAAAGCAGGUACCUGGACUAUUACUGACGCUAAGCUGCGAAAGCUAGGGGAGCAAACA
rnacentral:rRNA from 1 species